rnacentral:rRNA from 1 species
AAAUUGAAGAGUUUGAUCAUGGCUCAGAUUGAACGCUGGCGGCAGGCCUAACACAUGCAAGUCGAACGGUAACAGGAAGCAGCUUGCUGCUUCGCUGACGAGUGGCGGACGGGUGAGUAAUGUCUGGGAAACUGCCUGAUGGAGGGGGAUAACUACUGGAAACGGUGGCUAAUACCGCAUAACGUCGCAAGACCAAAGAGGGGGACCUUCGGGCCUCUUGCCAUCAGAUGUGCCCAGAUGGGAUUAGCUGGUUGGUGAGGUAACGGCUCACCAAGGCGACGAUCCCUAGCUGGUCUGAGAGGAUGACCAGCCACACUGGAACUGAGACACGGUCCAGACUCCUACGGGAGGCAGCAGUGGGGAAUAUUGCACAAUGGGCGCAAGCCUGAUGCAGCCAUGCCGCGUGUAUGAAGAAGGCCUUCGGGUUGUAAAGUACUUUCAGCGGGGAGGAAGGUGUUGUGGUUAAUAACUGCAGCAAUUGACGUUACCCGCAGAAGAAGCACCGGCUAA